rnacentral:rRNA from 1 species
UACGUAGGGUGCGAGCGUUAAUCGGAAUUACUGGGCGUAAAGCGUGCGCAGGCGGUUUGUUAAGACAGAUGUGAAAUCCCCGGGCUAACCUGGGAACUGCAUUUGUGACUGGCAAGCUAGAGUAUGGCAGAGGGGGGUAGAAUUCCACGGUGUAGCAGUGAAAUGCGUAGAGAUGUGGAGGAAUACCGAUGGCGAAGGCAGCCCCCUGGGCCAAUACUGACGCUCAUGCACGAA